UACAGAGGGUGCGAGCGUUAAUCGGAAUUAUUGGGCGUAAAGCGCACGUAGGUGGUGAGAUAAGUCAGAUGUGAAAUCCCUGGGCUCAACCUGGGAAUGGCAUUUGAUACUGUCUGGCUAGAGUAUGGGAGAGGGAAGUGGAAUUUCCGGUGUAGCGGUGAAAUGCGUAGAUAUCGGAAGGAACACCAGUGGCGAAGGCGACUUCCUGGCCUAAUACUGACACUGAGGAGCGAAAGCGUGGGGAGCAAACAGG
rnacentral:rRNA from 1 species